UUGAUCCUGGCUCAGAUUGAACGCUGGCGUGCAGGCCUAACACAUGCAAGUCGAGCGGCAGCACAAGUAAGUUUACUUAUGAGGUGGCGAGCGGCGGACGGGUGAGUAAUGCCUAGGGAUCUGCCCAGUCGAGGGGGAUAACAGUUGGAAACGACUGCUAAUACCGCAUACGCCCUACGUGGGGAAAGAGGGGGACCUUCGGGCCUCUCGCGAUUGGAUGAACCUAGGUGGGAUUAGCUAGUUGGUGAGGUAAUGGCUCACCAAGGCGACGAUCCCUAGCUGUNACUGAGAGGAUGAUCAGCCACACUGGNGACUGAGACACGGUCCCAGACUCCUA
rnacentral:rRNA from 1 species